rnacentral:rRNA from 1 species
AUACGUAGGUGGCAAGCGUUGUCCGGAUUUACUGGGUGUAAAGGGCGUGUAGGCGGAGAUGCAAGUCAGGAGUGAAAUCUAGGAGCUCAACCCCUAAACUGCUUUUGAAACUGUAUCCCUUGAGUAUCGGAGAGGCAGGCGGAAUUCCUAGUGUAGCGGUGAAAUGCGUAGAUAUUAGGAGGAACACCAGUGGCGAAGGCGGCCUGCUGGACGACAACUGACGCUGAGGCGCGAAAGCGUGGGGAGCAAACAGGAUUAGAUUCCCUGGUAGUCCACGCUGUAAACGAUGAAUACUAGGUGUGGGGGGACUGACCCCCUCCGUGCCGCAGUUAACACAAUAAGUAUUCCACCUGGGGAGUACGAUCGCAAGAUUGAAACUCAAAGGAAUUGACGGGG